rnacentral:rRNA from 1 species
GGUUAAAAAGCUCGUAGUUGGAUCUCGGCGAACAGGGGGCGGUUCGUUAUUUGACGGUACUGCCCCACUUGUUCGUAUUUUUGCAGAGGGCUGGGGGUCCCCUUCAUUGGGUGUCUCCGGUCGCUUGCAGGUUUACUUUGAAAAAAUUAGAGUGCUCAAAGCAGGCUUACACGCUUGAAUAUUCGUGCAUGGAAUAAUAGAAUAGGAAGUCGUUUCUAUUUUGUUGGUUUUCGGAAAAUGACUUAAUGAUUAAUAGGGACAAUCGGGGGCAUUAGUAUUCAAACGACAGAGGUGAAAUUCUUGGACCGUUUGAAGACUAACUACUGCGAAAGCAUUUGCCAAGAGUGUUUUCAUUAAUCAAGAACGAAAGUUAGAGGUUCGAAGGCGAUCAGAUACCGCCCUAGUUCUAACCAUAAACGAUGCCAGCUAGCGAUCUGCGGGUGUGUAAAAACAAGACCCCGCAGGGAGCUUCCGGGAAACCAAAGCU